rnacentral:rRNA from 1 species
GGGGAAUAUUGCACAAUGGGCGCAAGCCUGAUGCAGCAACGCCGCGUGAGGGACGACGGCCUUCGGGUUGUAAACCUCUUUUAGUAGGGAAGAAGCGAAAGUGACGGUACCUGCAGAAAAAGCACCGGCUAACUACGUGCCAGCAGCCGCGGUAAUACGUAGGGUGCAAGCGUUAUCCGGAAUUAUUGGGCGUAAAGAGCUCGUAGGCGGUUUGUCACGUCUGCUGUGAAAACUGGAGGCUCAACCUCCAGCCUGCAGUGGGUACGGGCAGACUAGAGUGCGGUAGGGGAGAUUGGAAUUCCUGGUGUAGCGGUGGAAUGCGCAGAUAUCAGGAGGAACACCGAUGGCGAAGGCAGAUCUCUGGGCCGUAACUGACGCUGAGGAGCGAAAGCAUGGGGAGCGAAC